UGUUCCCAUAGAAUGGAGAAAUGUUUUCCUGGAUGAUUACUAAACGCAGCGUAAAUUUUUGUUGAGAUUACUCAUCCAGAAGAAGAAAUUAUCUAAAAUGGAUUUCCGGUUCUAGAAAUCAUCUAACAAUAGUUUCUGUUUCUCAUCCAUUCUUCAUAAUAGUGGUGAACCUUCUUUGAAAUUCUGAUUCCUAGAAUUUUACCGAUAGUCGUGGUUUUGUGAGUCAAUCUUCUGGGAUUAAUGGGUUCUGGCCUUAUUGGCCUUUGAUGUACAGAACAAUCAGAACUCUUGUCAAUGGCGACUCAGAUCCUACUAAGAGUUAAACUCGCUUUGAAGCUUCCAAAAUGCUCUUCCAUUGCCAUUCGCUCCAAAACAACUUCAUCUCAGUAUGUGGCAUCAAGGGCCAGAGACCCAACCUUCGAGAAAUUCAUGGCGGACUACAAAAACUUUCUUAAGGUAGUCUCUGUUCAAGAUCUUAUCCUUGCGAACCCUAAAAACCCAACACUUCCCCUUGAUUUCCUUGACAGGCUUUCUCAGAAAUUCCAUCUCAACCGUGGAGCCCUUCAUUUCAUCCGUAAAUAUCCUCACAUUUUCACGCUCUUCUAUGACACCUCAGAGUCAAAACCAUUCUUCAAAUUAACUGAAGCUGCAAUUGAGAUUUCUCGUCAAGAAGCAGCCGCAAUUGAUGGUUCGAAGCCCGUUGUCAUUGAUCGAUUAGUUCGACUCCUUUCAAUGUCUAUCUCAAAAUCUCUACCCCUUCGAGCAAUUUUCAAAGUCUGGAGGGAACUUGGCUUGCCUGAUGAUUUUGAGGAUUCGAUAAUCUCCCACAACCCUACUCUUUUCUCUCUCUGUGAUGCCCAUGAACCUAAAACUCAUAUCUUGGAAUUGGUAACUGGAAACCUAAAUCCUGGCUUCUCAGCCGCAGUUGAGAACUGGAGGAUUUCUGAAUCUUGUAAGGAGGAUGCUGGGGUUGAUACAUCUGAAAUUCGAUUUGCUUUUAAACACGGGUUUCCACCUGGGAUGAGAUUGAGCAAAGAUUUGAAAGCCAAGGUUAAGGAUUGGCAAAGGUUGCCAUAUUUGGGACCUUACGAGGAGAUGGGAGUGAAGAGAAAGUCCAAAGCUGGUAUGAAGGGACUGGAGAAGCGGGCUGUUGCAGUUGUUCACGAGUUCUUGAGUUUGACAGUGGGGAAAAUGGUGGAGGUGGAGAAGAUCAGCCAUUUUCGGAAUUGGUUUGGGAUUGAUUUGAAUAUUAGGGACCUAUUUUUGGAUCACCCUGGGAUCUUUUAUUUGUCAACCAAAGGGAAGAGACACACCAUUUUCCUGAGAGAGGCUUAUGAACAGGGGCGUUUAAUUGAUCCAAAUCCCGUUUAUGACGUAAGGAGGAAGCUUUUUGAUCUUGUUAUUCUAGGACGCCGAGGUCUUCAUAUGGGUGAUUGUCAGCAGCGAGGGAACUUGAUGAGGAAAGGGAUCUGAGGUUUUGAAGUUCUAGACUCAGAUAUGUCCACAUGAGUAGGGGGAAUAAGAAUUUUGGAUGCCAUUAGGAUGAAGUUUGUUGUUCAAAUGGUAUUUGGAACUCAUUUUCGAAGACAAAGUUACCUAUCGGAAAGGCAUUUGGCAUUUUGCGGAUCCCAUAGGGAUUAAGGAUUCUGGAAAAAGGGGGAAAGGCUCUUUAAGGACGAAUUGGAGGAGUAUAACUCAUUGUAUAAGGAUUAAUAUCCUGACUUGGCAUCUGGAGGUGUAUAGGAAUAACCACAAGGUGUGCAGGGGUAAGGGCGUAUAGGGAUAAUCAUGUGGGGAGACUUUGGUAGCCGAAUCUGCUGCCCUAUAUCAGACAUGUUGCUGCCUUGGGACAACUGCACAUGACAUCAUAGCAGCACGAAGGCUCAGGAUGAAGAGAAGACCAACAACAUAGAGUGUUUCUGGUGCCAUAAGAAAGGACAUGUAAAGAAUGACUACUUUAUUUUCAAGAAAUGGUUAGAGAAAAUGAAGAAUUCUGGAGCUGAUAAGCAGGAUGAUGCCAAGAAAGGGUGAAGUAGAUUGAUCACCAGCAAUUAAGAACAAGUAAAAGUUGGUCUCAUCAAGUAGUUAGGAUUCCUUUAUAUUCAGUUAUUUGAA